AAAAAUUAAAUUUCCCGAUCCUUAAACAAGUCUAGACUUUAGCCUUAAUCCCAACAAAAAGGUUUUAAAGGGAUAAAAAAGAAAAAGUAAUGGAAAUAUUUAAUUAAACAGUCCCUAUCUACAUUAUUGAUUAUCCAUAGGGGUAGAAUACAAGCAACUCCUCACUUUGUUUUAAUUUGGUUCUUUCUUGUAUCAUAAACUUUCUGCCUUUUUCUGUUUCACCCACUUUGUC
rnacentral:lncRNA from 1 species